AUUGAACGCUGGCGGCAUGCUUUACACAUGCAAGUCGAACGGCAGCGCGGGCUUCGGCCUGGCGGCGAGUGGCGAACGGGUGAGUAAUACAUCGGAACGUGCCCAGUAGUGGGGGAUAGCUCGGCGAAAGCCGGAUUAAUACCGCAUACGACCUGAGGGUGAAAGCGGGGGAUCUUCGGACCUCGCGCUAUUGGAGCGGCCGAUGGCAGAUUAGCUAGUUGGUGGGGUAAAGGCCUACCAAGGCGACGAUCUGUAGCUGGUCUGAGAGGACGACCAGCCACACUGGGACUGAGACACGGCCCAGACUCCUACGGGAGGCAGCAGUGGGGAACUUUGGACAAUGGGCGAAAGCCUGAUCCAGCAAUGCCGCGUGUGUGAUGAAGGCCUUCGGGUUGUAAAGCACUUUUGGCGGGAACGAAAAGGACUGUGCCAAUACCACGGUGCGAUGACGGUACCAGCAGAAUAAGCACCGGCUAACUACGUG
rnacentral:rRNA from 1 species